AGGGCGACCGGCCACACUGGGACUGAGACACGGCCCAGACUCCUACGGGAGGCAGCAGUGGGGAAUAUUGCACAAUGGGCGAAAGCCUGAUGCAGCGACGCCGCGUGAGGGAUGACGGCCUUCGGGUUGUAAACCUCUUUCAGCAGGGAAGAAGCGAAAGUGACGGUACCUGCAGAAGAAGCGCCGGCUAACUACGUGCCAGCAGCCGCGGUAAUACGUAGGGCGCAAGCGUUGUCCGGAAUUAUUGGGCGUAAAGAGCUCGUAGGCGGCUUGUCACGUCGGUUGUGAAAGCCCGGGGCUUAACCCCGGGUCUGCAGUCGAUACGGGCAGGCUAGAGUUCGGUAGGGGAGAUCGGAAUUCCUGGUGUAGCGGUGAAAUGCGCAGAUAUCAGGAGGAACACCGGUGGCGAAGGCGGAUCUCUGGGCCGAUACUGACGCUGAGGAGCGAAAGCGUGGGGAGCGAACAGGAUUAGAUACCCUGGUAGUCCACGCCGUAAACGGUGGGCACUAGGUGUGGGCAACAUUCCACGUUGUCCGUGCCGCAGCUAACGCAUUAAGUGCCCCGCCUGGGGGAGUACGGA
rnacentral:rRNA from 1 species